AGGUCGAGUAAUGUUGAGGAA
rnacentral:siRNA from 1 species